UCUAGUGGUGGAUGUAGUGGGACAGUGUUAGGUGGUCUGUAUCAGUAGACUGUCUGUCUAGUGGUGGAUGUAGUGGGACAGUGUUAGGUGGUCUGUAUCAGUAGACUGUCUAGUGGUGGAUGUAGUGGGACAGUGUUAGGUGGUCUGUAUCAGUAGACUGUCUGUCUAGUGGUGGAUGUAGUGGGACAGUGUUAGGUGGUCUGUAUCAGUAGACUGUCUGUCUAGUGGUGGAUGUAGUGGGACAGUGUUAGGUGGUCUGUAUCAGUAGACUGUCUGUCUAGUGGUGGAUGUAGUGGGACAGUGUUAGGUGGUCUGUACCAGUAGACUGUCUAGUGGUGGAUGUAGUGGGACAGUGUUAGGUGGUCUGUACCAGUAGACUGUCUGUCUAGUGGUGGAUGUAGUGGGACAGUGUUAGGUGGUCUGUAUCAGUAGACUGUCUGUCUAGUGGUGGAUGUAGUGGGACAGUGUUAGGUGGUCUGUACCAGUAGACUGUCUGUCUAGUGGUGGAUGUAGUGGGACAGUGUUAGGUGGUCUGUACCAGUAGACUGUCUGUCUAGUGGUGGAUGUAGUGGGACAGUGUUAGGUGGUCUGUAUCAGUAGACUGUCUAGUGGUGGAUGUAGUGGGACAGUGUUAGGUGGUCUGUAUCAGUAGACUGUCUAGUGGUGGAUGUAGUGGGACAGUGUUAGGUGGUCUGUAUCAGUAGACUGUCUGUCUAGUGGUGGAUGUAGUGGGACAGUGUUAGGUGGUCUGUAUCAGUAGACUGUCUAGUGGUGGAUGUAGUGGGACAGUGUUAGGUGGUCUGUAUCAGUAGACUGUCUGUCUAGUGGUGGAUGUAGUGGGACAGUGUUAGGUGGUCUGUAUCAGUAGACUGUCUGUCUAGUGGUGGAUGUAGUGGGACAGUGUUAGGUGGUCUGUAUCAGUAGACUGUCUAGUGGUGGAUGUAGUGGGACAGUGUUAGGUGGUCUGUAUCAGUAGACUGUCUAGUGGUGGAUGUAGUGGGACAGUGUUAGGUGGUCUGUAUCAGUAGACUGUCUGUCUAGUGGUGGAUGUAGUGGGACAGUGUUAGGUGGUCUGUAUCAGUAGACUGUCUGUCUAGUGGUGGAUGUAGUGGGACAGUGUUAGGUGGUCUGUAUCAGUAGACUGUCUGUCUAGUGGUGGAUGUAGUGGGACAGUGUUAGGUGGUCUGUAUCAGUAGACUGUCUGUCUAGUGGUGGAUGUAGUGGGACAGUGUUAGGUGGUCUGUAUCAGUAGACUGUCUGUCUAGUGGUGGAUGUAGUGGGACAGUGUUAGGUGGUCUGUAUCAGUAGACUGUCUGUCUAGUGGUGGAUGUAGUGGGACAGUGUUAGGUGGUCUGUAUCAGUAGACUGUCUAGUGGUGGAUGUAGUGGGACAGUGUUAGGUGGUCUGUAUCAGUAGACUGUCUGUCUAGUGGUGGAUGUAGUGGGACAGUGUUAGGUGGUCUGUAUCAGUAGACUGUCUAGUGGUGGAUGUAGUGGGACAGUGUUAGGUGGUCUGUAUCAGUAGACUGUCUGUCUAGUGGUGGAUGUAGUGGGACAGUGUUAGGUGGUCUGUAUCAGUAGACUGUCUGUCUAGUGGUGGAUGUAGUGGGACAGUGUUAGGUGGUCUGUAUCAGUAGACUGUCUAGUGGUGGAUGUAGUGGGACAGUGUUAGGUGGUCUGUAUCAGUAGACUGUCUAGUGGUGGAUGUAGUGGGACAGUGUUAGGUGGUCUGUAUCAGUAGACUGUCUGUCUAGUGGUGGAUGUAGUGGGACAGUGUUAGGUGGUCUGUAUCAGUAGACUGUCUGUCUAGUGGUGGAUGUAG